rnacentral:rRNA from 1 species
UCGAUGGAUAGGGGUUCUGAGAGGAAGGUCCCCCACAUUGGAACUGAGACACGGUCCAAACUCCUACGGAAGGCAGCAG